ACUCUAGGGCUGCAGAUAAGACUGUUGCCAUGGUCCUGAAGGAGAUACCCAAAAAGGCGUCUUCAGAAGUGAAACCCCUCCUCACGGUGACAACCAAGCUGGUGAGUGAGCAACAAGAGAGCCGCCCCCUGCUAAGCCCCUCCAUCGACGACUUUCUCUGUGAGACCAAGUGCCAUGGCGCUGCCCGCCUAGUGACUUCGAACACAGCAGUUCUGUCCUCCACAUUGGACCUAUUGGACCUCAGCGAGCCCGGAGAGAGAAGGAACAGCAAGCAGGACAAGAAGAGCCCUCUGUUGUCAYGUGGGGACGGGCCUAAGAACACGCCUCACCGGAAGAAGACGACGGACGAGACAGAGCUGAUCCAGGUGGAUGUAGAGCAGACUGUCCCCAGCUCACACACUCCUGAAAGAGUGUCACUAGACUCAGUCAACAUUGCCUGUCCUUUGGAGAAAUGGGAGGAGCUCAACGUCCACACUGAAAGAAACAGCAGCAGAAAGUGGAAAUUGGAGAGACGGGGUUCAUCGAAAAACUCCUCCAGCGAACUUCUGUGGUCCAUAGACUGCAAAACACAAUCAGAGCCACCCUCCAAGAGCUCUUUGGAAGUAAAUGCCAUAGCAGAGGCCGAGCCAGCUCUAGCAUUUCAACUCAACAGACAGUAUAUUAGUGGAAGACAUGGCCGUUUGAGUAAAGAGCGGUUCGGUGGCGGUGCCCUCCUGUCCAGAAACCAGUCCCUGGAGGAAGAGUUUGAGCGAGCCAAGGCAGCUGUGGAGUCAGACACAGAGUUCUGGGACAAGAUGCAAGCAGAGUGGGAGGAGCUAGCACGACGGAACUGGCUAACGGAGAACGAGCAGGCGCAGAUCCCCUCCAGUGUGUCGCCUCACGAGAAGGGUUACUACUUCCACAUGGACAACCCCUACAAGGACUGGCCCAACGCGUUUGAGGAGGGUCUUCGAAAGUCCAAAGAGGGAGACCUGCCCAACGCUGUGCUGCUACUGGAGGGGGCCAUCUUGCAGGACCCCCAGGACUCAGAGGCUUGGCAAGUGUUGGGGACGACCCAGGCCGAGAACGAAAACGAGCAGGCAGCUAUCGUCUCCCUCCAGAGGUGUCUCGAGCUCCACCCCAAUAACCUCCAAGCCCUCAUGGCCCUGGCGGUGAGCCUGACCAACACGGGCAUGAGGCAGGAUGCCUGCGAGGCGUUGCUGCGCUGGCUCCGUCACAACUCCAAGUACAAGCACCUGCUGAAGGGCAAGAGCCACCUGGCGGGCUCCCCGGGCUCCCAACGUAGGAUGUCUCGUGUCUCAACUGUGGGCAGAUAUGAGAGCUCUCUACUGCCUGAGGUGAAGGAUCUGUUUCUGGAGGCAGCCCAGCACAACAGGGACACCGACCCAGACCUGCAGACGGGCCUGGGUGUGUUGUUCAACAUUAGCGCGGAGUUCAAUAAAGCUGUGGAGGCCUUCAAUGCUGCCCUGACGGUGCGGCCAGAGGACUACCUGCUGUGGAACCGCCUGGGGGCCACGCUGGCUAACGGGGACCGCAGCGAGGAGGCGGUAGAGGCCUACACCCGAGCCCUGGAGCUCCAGCCGGGCUUCAUUAGAUCCCGUUACAACCUGGGCAUCAGCUGCAUCAACCUAGGAGCACACCGGGAGGCGGCCAGUAACUUCCUAACAGCCCUGAGUCUGCAGAGGAAGAGCCGUAGUCAGCAGCUCUCGCACCAGGUCAUGUCGGGGAACAUCUGGGCCGCCCUGCGGAUAGCCCUCUCCAUGAUGGACCAGCCGGAGCUCUUCCAGGCAGCCAACAUCGGAGACUUGGACCUCCUCAUGAAAGCAUUCAACCUGGACAUGUGAGUGGAGAUGGGCCUUGGAGACGAGUCUCUUCUCUCCUACCAACAGGCCUUGGAGAAGAGUCUCUACACUCCUACCAAAUGCCAAAAAACCCAAAGUGUACAGUUGGAAAGAGCUGUUUUGUCCAGUUAAUGACGAGUGUGUGGUCUAUUUUGGCGAGCACUACAAAAUCUUUACUACUCCUCAGUACCUCUGCAGUCUUCUUGAGUACUGCAUGUGCUCGAAGAGUCUAUUUUGCGAUGGAUUUGCACUGCAAUUUGUGAUUUCCCCGAAGAGCACAAGGACGGGCAAAGACUGUACAAGUAAUGCCUUAGAGAACACAGUAAUUAAAACUAACUCAUUGGAACUGAGUGAGAGAAAGAGAAAUGCUGAGAAUGCUUUUGCUGAACAGUGUUGAGGUUUGACAAGAACGGUUUCCUCAUCCAGAGACUUUUAGAGUGUCCGGAUUAUCACACUGACCUAAAGGAAGGAUUUAGUGGGUAAAAUCAAUAAAGACUACACCAUAAGCCGUGGGACUCGGAGACAGUUUUCAGCAGAGAAUCAAUAUUCUUUUUUGGGGGGGUUGGUUUUAUCCUCUUUUCUGUGAGGAACAACACUGCAUGGAAACUAAAGCAUGUUCCUAAAUGGAUUCGGUGGCACUUGCCUGAACCUAAAAGCUUAGAACUUUUUUUCCUUACUUGGACUCAGCACUUUGAAAAACAAACAGAUAAUUUCCUCUUAUCUUAAUGAAACGAGACAGAUUGUAAAGCCUUACCUGAAACGCAUGCUAAAACGAAAUUGAUUUACACUAUUUUUAUGGCAACCAAUGUAAGCCAUUUUCAGAUUCAUUUUUGACUUCCUCGAAUACCUGGCAUCCUCCGAAUUCUUCACGUUUGUGGUGUUUCCAGCUCCUCAUUUUACUUUACCCUAACUGGUUUGAGAGAAGCACACAUUAGCUGGACAAGAUGGACCUGUAUUUUUCCCUCAGAGCUGGGAAAGGGUUGGAACAGUCCAGUAGCAAACGCAAGAGGAGGAAAACAGAGAAGUCUUUUGUGUAUGGAAUCACUGCUGCCAUGAUGUUUAAAACAUCAAGGAGCCAGAGCCAGAGACACAGCACAUAUGUGCGCGCUGCUGGCAAUCUGCAUAGGAGGCUAGCUUUGAAGACCAGAAAACACAUCGGCGGACUGUACAACGUCAAAGGCAACUGGGCCAACACGUUAUGGCAUCCUUCCAUUUAUUAAUUAAUUUAGUCUGUUGCCCAACUACCCCAAACAAGCUGAUAUUCCUUCACUCCCACACUCCUCAACCCACCCAGCGAGCAAGGGCGGUUGAGAUCUAGUUGUAACCAAUCGUGAUCGUCACUGCGAUCAUGAUUGGCUACUCCGUAGUGAUUCAUAGAACGAUGGUUGAGAACUCUAUACUGUAGAUUUAUAUGGAAAAUAGUAUUGAGAAAACAGAAUCGUUUUUUUAUUCCAAAGUGUAUAAUUUACAGAAAAUGUUUUCUGUCCCCCAUGCCUCCUAGUUGCCCUUACUGUCAGCAGCAUAUACACUGUAGUACAAUGCUGAAACCAGGAUUUACUGUAUCUUGUGAUUUCUUAUGGUCUAAUAAGCCUGUGCUUUUUGAACAAAAAAUAAUGUAGUUAUGUAGAAGAUUAAAUUAUUUUUUUAACACUUUUUGAAUUAUUGGCUUACCAACUAUAUAUAUAUAUAUUACUGUAGAAUUUAUAUUGAUGUGUGUUGAGUUAGGAUGCCCGAUGACAAAGUACCUUUUCUAGAACAGUUGACCUUCUCAGGUGUGAUGACCUAGCUACACCUAACAUACUCCAGGUUGAAUGCAUGCUAGAGAUCUUCUAUGCUUCAUUUUGAAUGAUCUUUUAUUUUUCAUGCAUGCAGUGUUUUUCUUUCCACUAAUUCUAAAAACAAAAUAUAGCAUGAUGUUACAUAGCAAUAUUUUUUUCAAUCCACUUUUAAAACGUCUUCAUUUUAUGAAAUGUAACAUACCUAUUGUAUAUUGUGCACAACAUACAAUAGCAUAACAUGUGCAGUGAAUCUGGAGAGAAAUCAAAAGUAUAACCGAGUGCAAGCCUCGGCCCACACGCCAACCGUUUGGCUAAAGGGUUUCGGAUCCUUUGGUGACAGUUGUAUUACCUUGAAGUCUCUCAGGCGUGUGUACAACUGAACGACCACAACGCUUCCUGCUCAGUGUAAUAGCAUUAGGUCCUACAGUUUUCAAUAAUUGCUCUGUGUCUCGUGUACGAUACAUUUCAUUGUACCCCGCUGGUUUACUCUGGUUUGUUUCUAUAUAGCUGAUAUACAAGUUUGAAUAGAUCUAUUAAUAUUUUUGAUGCCUUAAAAAAAAUGAAAUACUUUACAGUGUACUAACAAUGCAUAAUAAAUACUCUCCCGAUGUACCUAAAACACUAGUCAAGCAUCAACACCUUUCAGACAUAUGAUAUGAAAGUUCUCUUUUAAAAUAAACUUGUAAUAUAUUCAAAGUGUCUCUUUAUAUUUGUUUUUGAAUAUAUAUUUUAUCAUCGCAUCGACUGCAUGUCUACCAAGGUGUAUGUAUUAUAUUGUUCAGUACUUUAUACUGCAGCUCUCCUUUCCUACUAAAUCACAACCACCUCAUUUAUUUAAAAAAAAUAAUAAUACAAAAAAACAGUACUCAAUUAAAAUUCUACAUGAAAUGCAUGCUAUUCUACUGUUUAUGAAGUAAAGAACUGGAGAAGCCAAGACAUUGGACCCCUUGAGGAAUUGUCAUGAUGAACCAUCAUUCUCUUGUCAUUCUCAAUGACAACACUGUGUCAAGUGUCCAAAAUGUCAAGAAAUGUGCAGUUUAUUUGACAGUACCAGCGGAUAUAUUGUUGUGAUAACCAUGUAUUCACAUAUUCCAUUACAAUACUGAUAUCCCAAACAAUAUUUAGAUAAAUACAUACAUUACAAAAGUCUACGUUAGAUAAUCCCUUCAGGGAAACUGUAUGUAAUGAAAACUACAGAAUUGGCAACAACAAAAAAAAGGAGUAAAAACAGGUGAAGUACCAUUGACUAUUUAGUUAAAUUACAUUAGAAAACACACAAGUACCAUUGUACAAUCCAAAUGACCAAAUGUCAACUUUUAGUGCACAUGCGGACAGUACAAAGGCGUUUUGUGACACAAAAGGUGAACCGUUAAGUUACCAUU